CCUUUACAGACCCAACACACCAACACUUCCAAUACCAAUUAACCCAUUACUACAACCAACCCGAUAUCCACUGAUACCUACAACUACAACAACAGCUACUCGACCUACACACCCAUUAUUAUCCAACCACAUCCAACAACAAAUCACAAAUUUUAUCCAACCGAGACACAUCCUAAGCUACCUUCAGGACAAACAAAGGACCAACAAUAACCGAAAAUAACAAUAACCAAACCAAAACUACUAGCACAACUACAGAACAAACGAAACCAAAACGGAAACAGACACAAAACAAAAAAACAACUACUCAAUAAAAUCCAAAAACAAAAGGCAGGGGAUAAUAUAAUUAACUUAUCAAAUAUACAUGUCUCGGAUGCUACUAAAAGCAUACUAAACAAGGGACUUAAAUUUGUUCCCAAACCUAAACCCAUUGGUUUACUAAUCUGUCUAUACAUCAUACCUACAAUACCGAAGAAACAUGUACCUUCAAUACCAUUACAGACAUUCGAAUAACAACUAUAUAAAACAUCCACUCAAAGCGAAAAGUGACUUCACACCACC
rnacentral:lncRNA from 1 species